rnacentral:sRNA from 1 species
GUAAACAUAAGACCACUUGACUUCAAGUGAGUGGUAAGAAUUCACCUUUACUUGCCUGAAACAUGGAGAGAAAUACACAACAAAAAAUGAGGAGAGGUGCCUCUAAUACAUGCCAGAGGCCAACGCAUGAAGAUCUGCGCAAUUUGCUGAAGAAACUUCAGAAAAUGAUGGAUCGACUUGGGUAUGGACCAUCUAGAGAGAGAUUCAGAGGACGGCCUGCAAGAUAUCAGGCAGCUAUUGCAUCUACAUCUUCUCAAAGAGGUUUGACUUAGGUCCAC